CCUGUUCCGACAGCCCGCCAGAGGACCCCAAACCCUGAUUACAUUUAAGAAGUCUUCUGAGUAAACCGAUUAAAUAAAUCAAAACUUUCAACAACGGAUCUCUUGGUUCUGGCAUCGAUGAAGAACGCAGCGAAAUGCGAUAAGUAAUGUGAAUUGCAGAAUUCAGUGAAUCAUCGAAUCUUUGAACGCACAUUGCGCCCGCUAGUAUUCUGGCGGGCAUGCCUGUCCGAGCGUCAUUUCAACCCUCAAGCCCCCGGGCUUGGUGUUGGGGAUCGGCGAGCCUCCGCGCCCGCCGUCCCCUAAAUCUAGUGGCGGUCUCGCUGUAGCUUCCUCUGCGUAGUAGCACACCUCGCACUGGGAAACAGCGCGGCCACGCCGUUAAACCCCCAACUUCUGAACGUUUGACCUCGGAUCAGGUAGGAAUACCCGCUGAACUUAAGCAUAU
rnacentral:rRNA from 1 species